rnacentral:rRNA from 1 species
AACGGACCUGACGGCAAGGGACGAAAGCUAGGGGCACGAACCGGAUUAGAUACCCGGGUAGUCCUAGCCGUAAACGAUACUCGCUAGGUGUCGGCCACGGUGCGACCGUUGUCGGUGCCGUAGGGAAGCCGUGAAGCGAGCCACCUGGGAAGUACGGCCGCAAGGCUGAAACUUAAAGGAAUUGGCGGGGGAGCACCACAACGGGUGGAGCUUGCGGUUUAAUUGGAUUCAACGCCGGAAAUCUUACCGGGACCGACAGCAAUAUGAAGGCCAGGCUGAAGACUUUGCCGGAUUAGCU